ensembl:lncRNA
AUCUUGAAAGUCCUCAAGGCUUAAGCCACAAGUGCAAUAACUCUGCUAAUAAUAAGGAUUGUGAGUUUAUUCAGUGGAACCCGUGAUUAUGACUGUUGCCAAGGUGACGGAGGGAGUGCCCGCUGGGACUGGUCUUAUUAUGGGGACCCAUUUGGUAUUGGAAGUGACAGCCAAUAUGUGUGCCCUGCCCAAAGGCUGCCCGUCAUAAGGAGACACUUUCCAUGGAGUAAGACAUGCUGUCAUUCUGCGUGGCUAGUGUGCAUUUCCACUGGGCAGCAGGGAAUGGGACUCUCUCCAACUUGUUUCCAUUGCCUUCGUUCCUGGUGCCUACAGUUGCAGCUGUCAUUACUUCAUAACUCUGAAAUGGCAAUGAGAGUUGGAAAACAGGGCUGGAAUUGUAUUCAUGGAGUAGAAGAUAUAUUUCUACUUCAACCUAGCUUUGAAGCACACCUUGUGAGAAAGAAAAACAAGCAAUUUAGAGGCGAUAUAUCAUACUAUAUCAGUUUAUGCAACAUGCCCAUGGUGGCCCACAUCUCACCCAAGAGGAAGCAAGUAUAUUUCAUUAUUUGUUUUCUCUGACCAAGAUAAAUACAAUAUAAUCACUAUGUGUUUGAAUUCUGGAUGUUUUUUUGAGAUUUGUAUUAUUAUAGUUGUUACAUUGUUAUCCUCCUUGCUUGCUUCACUCUGUAAAUUUACUCAUCUCCUGUUUCUAGGAAUUCCUCAUACUUGCCACUUUGGGGGAAACCAGUUCAAUAUUCAUUAAGGGAAAGAUCCUGCCCUCAAGGAGGUUACAUUUUAAUCCCUUAAUGAGGUCUGUGAACUUUAUUGAUAUAUUUUGGGGUUUAUUUUUAGUUUAAAUUUCUACCUUAAAAAAAAAAAAGCACCUUCCAUCUUAGAAUCAAUACUGUGUAUUAG